CAUUGAUCUAUGUACCCCUAUUCUUGACUCCAGACUGAAGGCUUCCUUUGUCAGUGAUUGAUGGCCACCCUCUCACAGGAAGAAUGACUAACUCCAACCUGACAGUCCACCACCUCACCAGUCCUCCUGGCUGCAGUGCAAGGCCAGAAGACAGCUCAGCUGGGGGAACAAGCCAUAGUCAGGAGAAGUGUUAUUAAAAACCCCAACAAAAUGAAAUUAAAAUGGAACAUCUAUACUGGAGAACAGCAGAGGCUAUAAACUGUGG